rnacentral:rRNA from 1 species
UGAGUAACCUGCCCUUAACUCUGGGAUAAGCCUGGGAAACUGGGUCUAAUACCGGAUAUGACUCCUCAUCGCAUGGGUGGGGGGUGGAAAGCUUUUUUGUGGUUUUGGAUGGACUCGCGGCCUAUCAGCUUGUUGGUGAGGUAAUAGCUCACCAAGGCGAUGACGGGUAGCCGGCUGAGAGGGUGACCGGCCACACGUGGGACUGAGACACGGCCCAGACCUCCGUACGGGGAGCAG